UACGUAGGUGGCAAGCGUUGUCCGGAUUUAUUGGGUUUAAAGGGUGCGUAGGCGGCCCACUAAGUCAGUGCUGAAAUAUCCCGGCUUAACCGGGAGGGUGGCAUUGAUACUGGUGGGCUUGAGUACAGAUGAAGUAGGCGGAAUUGACGGUGUAGCGGUGAAAUGCAUAGAUAUCGUCAAGAACACCGAUAGCGAAGGCAGCUUACUAAGCUGUAACUGACGCUGAGGCACGAAAGUGUGGGGAUCAAACAGG
rnacentral:rRNA from 1 species